AUUGGGUGAGGGGCCGCCUGUCCCCUCCCUCCCCACUUCCCUGUAGUCACAGCUGCUCAGGAGACUGAGGCAGAAGGAUGGCUUGAGCUUUAGAGAUCUGGGUUGUAGUGCACUCUGCAGAUCAAGUGUCUCCACUAAGAUUGCCAUCAAAAUGGUGACUUCCUGGGCGUGAGGAUGCCCCAGGUUGCCUGAAGAGUGGGGAAUUGGCCUACGUUGAAAACAGAGCAGGUCAGAACCACCAUGCUGAUUAGUACAGGGACUGCACCAGUGAAUAGCCAGUGCACUCCAUCCUGGACAACACGGUGAGGUACUGACUCUU
ensembl:misc_RNA Metazoa_SRP Metazoan signal recognition particle RNA